GUAGGGAAUCUUCCACAAUGGACGAAAGUCUGAUGGAGCAACGCCGCGUGAAGGAAGAAGGUUUUCGGAUCGUAAACUUCUAUCCUUGGUGAAGAUAAUGACGGUAGCCAAGAAGGAAGCCCCGGCUAACUACGUGCCAGCAGCCGCGGUAAUACGUAGGGGGCAAGCGUUGUCCGGAAUGAUUGGGCGUAAAGGGCGCGUAGGCGGCCCGGUAAGUCUGAAGUGAAAGUCCUGCUUUUAAGGUGGGAAUUGCUUUGGAUACUGUCGGGCUUGAGUGCAGGAGAGGUAAGCGGAAUUCCCGGUGUAGUGGUGAAAUGCGUAGAGAUCGGGAGGAACACCAGUGGCGAAGGCGGCUUACUGGACUGUAACUGACGCUGAGGCGCGAAAGUGUGGGGAGCAAACAGGAUUAGAAACCCCUGUAGUCC
rnacentral:rRNA from 1 species